rnacentral:rRNA from 1 species
AGUGGGGAAUAUUGCACAAUGGGCGCAAGCCUGAUGCAGCGACGCCGCGUGAGGGAUGACGGCCUUCGGGUUGUAAACCUCUUUCAAUAGGGACGAAGCGCAAGUGACGGUACCUAUAGAAGAAGGACCGGCCAACUACGUGCCAGCAGCCGCGGUAAUACGUAGGGUCCGAGCGUUGUCCGGAAUUACUGGGCGUAAAGAGCUCGUAGGUGGUUUGUCGCGUUGUCCGUGAAAACUCACAACUCAAUUGUGGGCGUGCGGGCGAUACGGGCAGACUGGAGUACUGCAGGGGAGACUGGAAUUCCUGGUGUAGCGGUGGAAUGCGCAGAUAUCAGGAGGAACACCGGUGGCGAAGGCGGGUCUCUGGGCAGUAACUGACGCUGAGGAGCGAAAGCGUGGGGAGCGAA